UACGUAGGGUGCGAGCGUUGUCCGGAAUUAUUGGGCGUAAAGGAGCUCGUAGGCGGUGUGUCACGUCGAUCGUGAAACUUACAGCUUAACUAGUGAGCGUGCGGUCGAUACGGGCAUCACUGGAGUUCGGCAGGGGAGACUGGAAUUCCUGGUGUAGCGGUGAAAUGCGCAGAUAUCAGGAGGAACACCGGUGGCGAAGGCGGGUCUCUGGGCCGAUACUGACGCUGAGGAGCGAAAGCGUGGGGAGCGAACAGG
rnacentral:rRNA from 1 species